rnacentral:rRNA from 1 species
AUUGAACGCUGGCGGCAUGCCUUACACAUGCAAGUCGAACGACGCUAGGGGCAACUCUAGCGAGUGGCGAACGGGUGAGUAAUACAUCGGAACGUGUCCUGUCGGGGGGGAUAACCAGUCGAAAGAUUGGCUAAUACCGCAUGACCUCGUAAGAGAAAAGCGGGGGACCGCAAGGCCUCGCCCGAUUGGAGCGGCCGAUGUCGGAUUAGCUAGUUGGCGGGGUAAAAGCCCACCAAGGCGACGAUCCGUAGCUGGUGUGAGAGAACGACCAGCCACACUGGGACUGAGACACGGCCCAGACUCCUACGGGAGGCAGCAGUGGGGAAUUUUGGACAAUGGGCGCAAGCCUGAUCCAGCCAUGCCGCGUGUGUGAAGAAGGCCUUCGGGUUGUAAAGCACUUUCGGGCGGAACGAAAUCGCGCGGGUUAACAGCCCGCGUGGAUGACGGUACCGCAAGAAGAAGCACCGGCUAACUACGUGCCAGCCGCCGCCGUAA